UGCAGUCGAACGAUUUACUUCGGUAAAGAGCGGCGGACGGGUGAGUAACGCGUGGGUAACCUGCCCUAUACACACGGAUAACGUACCGAAAGGUACGCUAAUACGAGAUAACAUAUUUUUAUCGCAUGGUAAGAAUAUCAAAGCUCCGGCGGUAUAGGAUGGACCCGCGUCUGAUUAGCUAGUUGGUAAGGUAACGGCUUACCAAGGCGACGAUCAGUAGCCGACCUGAGAGGGUGAUCGGCCACAUUGGAACUGAGACACGGUCCAAACUCCUACGGGAGGCAGCAGUGGGGAAUAUUGCACAAUGGGCGAAAGCCUGAUGCAGCAACGCCGCGUGAGCGAUGAAGGCCUUCGGGUCGUAAAGCUCUGUCCUCAAGGAAGAUAAUGACGGUACUUGAGGAGGAAGCCCCGGCUAACUACGUGCCAGCAGCCGCGGUAAUACGUAGGGGGCUAGCGUUAUCCGGAAUUACUGGGCGUAAAGGGUGCGUAGGUGGUUUCUUAAGUCAGAGGUGAAAGGCUACGGCUCAACCGUAGUAAGCCUUUGAAACUGAGAAACUUGAGUGCAGGAGAGGAGAGUAGAAUUCCUAGUGUAGCGGUGAAAUGCGUAGAUAUUAGGAGGAAUACCAGUUGCGAAGGCGGCUCUCUGGACUGUAACUGACACUGAGGCACGAAAGCGUGGGGAGCAAACAGGAUUAGAUACCCUGGUAGUCCACGCCGUANACGAUGAGUACUAGCUGUC
rnacentral:rRNA from 1 species